rnacentral:lncRNA from 1 species
CGGUUCUAUUACAAACAGCUUUACUUCACACAACUGCUUUAGCAGAAGUUCCCUGUUAGCAGAUUUGGUUUUGACGUGCAUCACUAUAGGUGUUACUGUUGCUGACAAAUGGAUCUCUCAUUCUUCCAGCAGCUAAGUCAACUAUUACCAUUUUGAUGUGCAUUUCUUUUUAAUGUGACCAGUUACUGUUUAAAUGAUCACAUGCCUAUUUUCUCAGAGAAUUACAUGAGGUUUUGAAUUAACUGAAAGCACUGGAAGACCAGCCAUAACCUUUUUGGUUCUUUUUAAUGUAGUUAUUUUUAGAUCAUUUGCUCUGCUCUGACACCCAAACGUUCUGAAAUUUAAAGUAGUACUAUAGGGACACACAAGUGUGGAUAAAUCUUUAUUGCCAUAACCUUUUUCUUUAAUUUUUUUUUUUCAAAAAAUGAGCAUUGGGUUUUCAAUAGGUUGUAGUUUUAUGUCUUCAUAUGUACAACAUUACAACUGCAUAUUUUAAUAAUAAUGAAGUUAGUGAUACUUUGAUAACUCAACACAGUGUAUUUAUAAAAUGAAUUUUUAUCAAAAUACACUUUUCACUGGGAUAAUAAAUAAAAUCCUGUGAAACCCACCUACACAAAGUUAAUUUUAACUCUGGUAGAACCCGAUGUGGUACACAGUCCAUUAACUACUAUGUUUGCCCCUUUAUCCCCCUACUGAUGCUCAUCUUCUGGGGUAAGAAAACACUUUUUCCCCCUGUUGUGGUGUGACCUCAUUCAACAUCAUCUUCAGCCAAGCACUGUGCACUUACAAUUCUCUGGCUUAUUGUAGGGAGCUUAGUUAGAAGCAUUUGAAACACUGGUGGUGGAAGAGUCUGCUGUAGAACUUGUAGUAGCUGCUGCGGCUGUCCACACACAGCAAUGGCAUUGGUCAAGUGAUCAACACCUUUCUCAUAUUCACCUUGAGCUAGUAGUUCCUCCCCAAGCUGGAUCUCCUCAAGAAAAAACUUCUGAACAGCUUCAGCAUCUUUCAGAUCAGGCAGCUUGGAAAGCCCUGCUCUCUCUUUGGCAAGCUUCUGUUUCUUCCUUCGCUCCCGCAGCCGGUUCUUGAAAUUCGGGUCGCUCCUCCUCUUGCGGUCGAAGUAGAUGCAGUAGCCGAUGAAUAGGGCCCCGCAGAGGCCCGCGGCGAUGGCACUGGUCUUACCCACCAUCAUGGUGCCCGGCGCCGCGGGGAAGGCCCCGCCGCCCCCGCCCUCCGCAAGGCCGGCGCCGAGCUCCGCAGGCACCUUGGGGCGAGCGGGCGGCGAGAAAGGACCCCGC